GGAUCAAUUUAUUGGUCGUGCUAUUGUACGUACUGGUAUUAUUGAUUCCUACCUUCUGACGAACCAUGAUGUCAUUAAUUUGGUGUCAUGGGGAAUCAGGACUGUUACUUUGAAAAAAUUAGAGUGUUUAAAGCAGGCGAAACAGCUUGAAUACAUUAGCAUGGAAUAAUAAAACAGGAC
rnacentral:rRNA from 1 species